GUCGAGCGGACCGACGGGAGCUUGCUCCCUUAGGUCAGCGGCGGACGGGUGAGUAACACGUGGGUAACCUGCCUGUAAGACUGGGAUAACUCCGGGAAACCGGGGCUAAUACCGGAUGCUUGAUUGAACCGCAUGGUUCAAUCAUAAAAGGUGGCUUUUAGCUACCACUUACAGAUGGACCCGCGGCGCAGUAGCUAGUUGGUGAGGUAACGGCUCACCAAGGCGACGAUGCGUAGCCGACCUGAGAGGGUGAUCGGCCACACUGGGACUGAGACACGGCCCAGACUCCUACGGGAGGCAGCAGUAGGGAAUCUUCCGCAAUGGACGAAAGUCUGACGGAGCAACGCCGCGUGAGUGAUGAAGGUUUUCGGAUCGUAAAACUCUGUUGUUAGGGAAGAACAAGUACCGUUCGAAUAGGGCGGUACCUUGACGGUACCUAACCAGAAAGCCACGGCUAACUACGUGCCAGCAGCCGCGGUAAUACGUAGGUGGCAAGCGUUGUCCGGAAUUAUUGGGCGUAAAGCGCGCGCAGGCGGUUUCUUAAGUCUGAUGUGAAAGCCCCCGGCUCAACCGGGGAGGGUCAUUGGAAACUGGGGAACUUGAGUGCAGAAGAGGAGAGUGGAAUUCCACGUGUAGCGGUGAAAUGCGUAGAGAUGUGGAGGAACACCAGUGGCGAAGGCGACUCUCUGGUCUGUAACUGACGCUGAGGCGCGAAAGCGUGGGGAGCGAACAGGAUUAGAUACCCUGGUAGUCCACGCCGUAAACGAUGAGUGCUAAGUGGUUAGAAGGGUUUCCGCCCUUUAGUGCUGCAGCAAACGCAUUAAGCACUCCGCCCGGGGGAGUACGGUCGCAAGACUGAAACUCAAAGGA
rnacentral:rRNA from 1 species